GACGUGACUUCAGAGUUUGAUCCUGGCUCAGGACGAACGGCUGGCGGGCGCGCCUAACACAUGCAAGUCGAACGGAGCAUUUGAGCUUGCUCAAAUGCUUAGUGGCGAACGGGUGAGUAACACGUGAGCAAUCUGCCUUCGAUGGGGGACAACAGUUGGAAACGACUGCUAAUACCGCAUAAGACCACGAUCCCGCAUGGGAUAGCGGUCAAAGGAUUUAUUCGCUUGAAGAUGAGCUCGCGUCCGAUUAGAUAGUUGGUGAGGUAACGGCCCACCAAGUCGACGAUCGGUAGCCGGACUGAGAGGUUGAACGGCCACAUUGGGACUGAGACACGGCCCAG
rnacentral:rRNA from 1 species